AACGAACGCUGGCGGCGCGCCUAACACAUGCAAGUCGAACGAGAAGGCGUAGCAAUACGCUUGUAGAGUGGCGAACGGGUGAGUAAUACGUGGGUGACCUACCCUCGAGUGGGGAAUAACCCGCCGAAAGGCGGGCUAAUGCCGCGUACGCUUCCGUCCUCACGGGGACGGAAGGAAAGCUGUACCGUGGGUACGGCGCUCAAGGAUGGGCUCACGUCCUAUCAGCUUGUUGGUAGGGUAACGGCCUACCAAGGCUACGACGGGUAGCUGGUCUGAGAGGACGAUCAGCCACACUGGCACUGCGACACGGGGCCAGACUCCUACGGGAGGCAGCAGUAAGGAAUAUUGCGCAAUGGGCGAAAGCCUGACGCAGCGACGCCGCGUGGGGGA
rnacentral:rRNA from 1 species